CCCCUUGAACACGCCGUCAAACUCUCGUUUCCCCUCACGAAAAUCGGCCCCGUAACGAAGUUUCGUUCGAGUGGAGCCACGCGAGUGAAAGUCGAAGGAAAGGAAAGGAAGCGAAACUUAGCGAGCUAUCCUUCUUAAGAUUCUACCGUGCAGUUUACCAUCUCUGUUCCACCCGGUUUAAUUCCCCUCUGCCACCGAAUAUAUUUGCGCCUUCGAAUCGCGGCACCGUGAACGAUGAGAUAUUUCAUCGGUCUGCGGUGAACCACUUUCAACGUGCAGAGGAAUAUUAUCGUCGUUGUGCAGCAAGCGGCGCGGUGUUAAAUUUUCCCAUACGAUAUUUAACUAAUUACGAGUGGUCCACGAGUCGGCAAAGGCUAGAACCACUCACCUUUUCGGAUCAGGCACGGUGCAGAAUGAUCUCGGUCUGCGCCUGAAGUAGGAACUCUCGAACCAGUCGGCCUCGUCCUCCAAGUCGUAACGAGAGAAACCCCUCGAGUAGGUCGGGUAAGGUUGACGAUACAUGAUCUGGAGGGAUCGGCGGGGGUAGGGGGCGUCGCAGAGGUUCUCAUCGCUGGGCACGCUCCUCACGCAGGCGGAGAGGAUCGAGGUUCUGGCAGAGGCGCACGGCGACGGGCCCCUGGUCGACAGGCAGCCGAAGAAUCCACCCCCAGACUUCUCGACCGCGUCCAAUUGCCGGCUGGUUAUGCAAUACUGCUCCUUGAUGUCCUCGCGAGAGUAAAGAGGAGUCGCUCUACGAUCCCAGUCGAUGCUGAUGCUGCCCGCUGGUGCCACGAAACCGGCUUGCAGAUCCACCUGAGUCGAGACGUCCACCUGUUAUCCGUAUCAGGAGCAGAAAAGGAAUAUUUAAAAUUAAAAUGGUUGCAGAGAACGAGGUUCUUAUGAUUGCCACUGUAAAAAUGCCGUGUAUUUAACCGUUUGCUGGAACAAAAAAAAAAAAGUUCCCAGGUUGGAAAGAAGAAUAGGUUACCGAUUUUAAGAAUCAGAAAUGGCAAAAAUCGCUUUUGACGUUUCCAUUUGGUGGAAACAGACUUUGCGAACUUGUUCCCUCUUUCAAGCCUUUCCUCCUCCUUUUUUUCCCCCUCCUACCUUUUUUUACCAUAGAAACCAGACGCCAUGCUUCUACUCCAAUAAUUCUCUUUGUUGUUGUACCGCAAAAAAGGUGAACAAAAAUGUUCCGUAACGAAGAUCGAUAAUGCAAUGUUCUUAUAUUCGCACCAAAGAAAUUCCUCUAUCGAUAAAACGUGUCGUGUUUGGUGAAAAUAUGUGGCCCGCGUAAUUUGAAAAUCGCGAAACGCGCCAACUUUUUCUUUCAUGGAAAAAGAUUAAAAUUAAGGAGAAAUUAAGGAAGGGUGGAUAGUUUUCGUUUCUUAUCUCUCCAACAAUACACUUUAUUUACUCGGAAAUUGAAAAAAUGCGAACAACGAUUAAAUAAUUAGACAAAUUCAUUUCGACAAUUAAAAAUAUCGUUAAUCAAACGUUGUUUAAGUAUCCAAAUUUUUUAAAAAUAAUUUCAGAAAUUUUAAAAAUACCACACACGAUAAUAAUUCGUAGAUAUAAUAAUUUUACGAUAAAUUGUGAUAAAUGUGUAUAAUAGUGCGAGUAGUGUUAAACAAUUCGAUACAACUCGAGCGACGUUAAUAACUCUCUUUUGAUACUCGCGAUACUCUAACGACACUUAACACGCUUCUCGACAACACACCUUUUAUUUCGUCGGUGCAAAAGAACAAUGACACAAUUGCCAGAGAGUCACUCUUUAGGUUAUGAAAAAACCAAUUAAUCUGCUUCUUUUCUCUUUUUUCUUUCUUUUUUUUUUUUUUAGAAUGUUUGGUGAUAUUACAUACAAAAAAAAAUUGUUUAAAUUAUCGAUGAAAAAUUGUUAUCGUAAUGUUGCGACUAUUACAAAUUUAUUCUUUGUUUAUCUUUUAAUAAUUUUACAUAAUGUAACGAAGAGUAACGAGAUGUUAUUCUCGAUGAAUAAUUUCGAUAUAUAUACUGUUUUCAGUUUUAAAAUUCCACGUUGGAAUUCUAAUAAUUUUUAAGAGUUUCCUCUCCCCGUUUUCCAUUCCCUUUCUCCACCACUUUUUCUUUUCUCUCUAAUUAUCUCCAUACGUCGAUUGGGAUAGUAAUUUGCCUCCGAAAAAAGAUUCAAUAAAAACCGUUACUGCAGAUAAAAUGAUGUAUAUAUAACGUAUCGAAGAUUUAUACGUGGGACUCAUAAUUGAAAUUUAUUCGUGCAAUGUUAUUCGAUGUUAAUUUUUUAAUCCGUGUACGCAGAUACAUAGAAAAAACGAUAAUAACAAAAACGUUAUUAAAUUCGAUCAAUUUUAUUCAGCUUUUUAAUCCGUUCAAUUCCUAUGGAAAAAGUCAAAUAACCUCAAAGAGUCGACCGAAAGUAAAAAAUAUAAUAACCGAUUUAAAAAUUAUUUUAUUAUAAAUCGAAUAACAAUUUUUAUUCGAUAUUCCAACGUUACAAACAUUACUCCCUUUUUCCAUUUGUUUUAUCCCUUUUCGUUUCAUAUUUACGUAUAUUCUUGGCACAUUUUAAUCGUAAUCUCGCUUAAAAUUCGUCGAGUUCCACAACACUUGACACGAUGAUAAAAAUUUCUUUUCGAAAUUUUCGCGCAUUUCUUCGAUCCCUCGGAAGAAGAGAAACGCGCGUGUAACUUUAGAUUCGCAUUUAUUUUAUUCGCGGCGCAGGUCGUCACAAGUGGGAAACACCGUUUAUAUGAAUGGACAUUUUAAAAGUUACGAGUGUCCUCGCUUAUGGUCCUCAAGAAUACUUUUGCUCGUGACGAUGGUGUUAACCGUAAAUCUUUUGCAUCCCAUCUUUUCGAAACUGCGCAACAAUCUUCGAAUUUUACGAAUAUUCCUCCUCUCGGCCGAGGAAGCUUCCUUCGUUACUGUAUUUUUAUACGGAUUCCAAUUCCAUCACCAAAUCGACAACCAGUGAUUCCAGUCAACAAACACUCGCACGUGCGAUACGGAAAACGAAUAAGAAACGAUUCUUAUCUCUCCCCUUCUUCCCCGUAUAACUCUUCGUUUAACCUCAUCGUGACGAAGAGAGUGUUAGAAAUUGACGAAUGGUCCCAAAAAAGAGAAAUUCCAAGAAAUGCGAACGGAAAGAGAUACAAAGGAUUUCGGGAUAUUCGAAGCCACCGAUGGCGAAAAUUUCUAUCCCUCGCCGCCAUUUUAUUGGAAUCCGUCCGGUGAAGAUAUCAGCCGAGCGAAUAACGCUUUAUCCACACGGGGCCUCUCGCGGCUGGGAAAUUUUUUAAUCCGCGAAAGACGUUCGAAAAUUCCUCCGCCAGCGUAAUUCCAUUUAUUGGAAUUCGAGCGUGAAAAGAUCAACAAAAAGGGGGGGUACUCCUCGACGAGGAAAAUGGAACGGAUCCUCCCUCUCCCUUCCUCUCGCCCGCUCACCCUUUCUCGAUAAAACUGACCCACAUUCGAUCGGCGGGAAACGAGUCUUCGAGUGCAUCGUUGAGGCGUACCCGAGCACUUAUACGAAAGACGAGAGGAUGACACGACGGGGCUGAGUUGCGAGCUUCGAUUCGACUCGAGGUCGUGCACUCUUUCGGCGUGGAUGCGGUGGUGGAGGGGGAGAGCGAACCGAGAGGGGAGAGAAUGAAGAGAGAGAGAGAGAGGAGGGGAGGUGAAGAGAAGAAGAAGAAGAAGAAACGAGAACUCCUCGAACGGUAAUCACGAUUAAUUAAAGGCUUUAAAGCUAACUCGAGUUCUUACGCUUUCUUCAGGCCCUUUAUGACACUUUGAAUGGGGGGCCGGCUUAAGCCAGGCUGACAGAUUCCUCGUGAAUUACCGGUAUCGUUGUUUAUCGAAUUUUCCCCAAUAAUUAUCGCGCCUUUAUUAACAAAUGGAACAAUCCGUGUUCCGUCCCGCUUUCGUUAACCUUCAUUUUUCUUUUUUUCGAAAUUUUAUUCGAAAGCUGAAACUAUCUUAUCGAAAGUUGACUUCAAAAGUUGAAUCCAACAUCUUGUUUUAAACACGUUGCGAUUUAAAAUUUUGCUCUGUGUAGAAGUAUUAUUAUUAGAGCAGAUUAAUAAUUGGUAAUAAUCUCUUCGUAAUAUUAAUAUUUUGAGAAAAAAUUAUGAUCCAAUUUAAUGAUUUAAUUUAUUGCAUCGUUGAAUAUUUGUGAAAGAAUUGCAAAAUUAAUUUUUACAAUAAUAAUAAUUUUAAAAGCAUCAUUUUAAAAAACAAUAAUUCUAAAACUCCGUUAAAAACGUAACUUCAAAUUUAUCGUCGAUGUAAAUGCGUAGAGAUGGAAAUGGUCUAAGAAAAAAAUAAAUAAAUAAAUUCAACUAUCGUAUUGAAUUCGAUUUCAUUUUACACGCGCUUCAAUUUUGAUUAAAAUUCCACCACUUUGAAAAUUUCGGAAAUAUAAAAAUUAAUUUUCAAGUACCGAAAACAAGCCACCAGCUUUAUUUCCUCCUUGCAAAUUGUAAUCUUUCGUUACAAAUUUAAACUCCGUGGAAAAGAAUCGCAAUCGUAUAUCGAGCAACAAUUUCAAUAUAAAUAAUUCAACGAAUCGAGUGAAAUUGAGCUGGACAUAUUCGGGGGUGGCAAGUUGAACUUUUAACGUAAUGAAAAAAAAAAAAAAACGUUAAAUUAAACGAAACAGAUCGAUGAUCGAAAGAUUAAAGAUGUGAUACAAUUUUUAACAAGCAACGAAAUUACAACAGAUUUAUCACAGAAAUUAAUGGAACAUUGGAAAAUCGAGAUGCGUGCGCCCUCGAUAUCUGAUAUAAUACAUAUAUAUGUAUAUAUGUAGGUUACACAAAUUGUAGAGUAACCGAAAUAUAUUAAUUGCUCGUGACAUCUUCCAACGUUCGUGUAUAUAGUUUGCCAGAACUCUGUUUAUUGAGAUAGUUUGUUACACAAAAUGUCUGGACGGUGUUAUAAACUUUCUGGACAAGUAUUUCGACUCGCGGAUCUUGCGAGCGCACGUUUAACGUGCAAGUAGUGCAAACGGAAAAUAAGUCGUCCCCAGUGAAAAUAAAAAUUAAAUGCGCAGAGUCGCGGUGUACUUGUCUCGUUGCAGUUAAUGAAACUCGUUGUUUCAAUCGUUAUUAUUUGUACAAAUACGAUAUAUAAAUAUCUCUGUUCAUUAAUUAUCAUAUAUAUAUCUUAUCUAUAAAAUUACAAUUGCAUUUUAUUAUAAUAUGGUAUGUGAUUCAUUUUUUUUUUUUUAAUAAAAAAAUUGUUCGUCCCACAAAUAAAACGUAUCCUGUGAAUUAUCAAGCUCUUAAAUUUUAAAAUUUAAAUAAUUUUGGCAAAGUUUUAUCGCACGAUAUUGUCGAGACGAGGAUGUGAAUCGAGUGUAUCAUUAGCAUAAUUUGAAUUUCUAACUGUUUGUGCAUCUUAAUAACUCUCUGGUUCCCUAAUUAUAAAAGAUCCUCGAUAUUUUUACCGAGGAGGGUGAUAUUUUUAGUGACAGGUUGCUGAAUCUACACGUACACACCGUAUUAACUAUAAACAUAAUAGACAUUUCCAGUGAUAUUCAUUGAACCGAAUUUUAGUCAAACACACGUAUCUCACGUAUCCAGAAAAUCGAUUUUCUCGAGAACAAAGGAUAUUAUACGUACGUAUUUUCUGCUUUAUCUUUUUUUUUUUUUUCUUUCUUUUUUCCCCCUCCGUGAAAAAUAAUUCUUUUCAAGUAGCUUAAUCGUUGCAGAAAUAAUUCGAUCCUUGGAUUCGAUGAAAAAUAGAUAUUUAUUCAUCGAUCUAUUUUAUUCAUUGAUUGAUUAUAGAAAACGUUUGAUAUAAUAAAUUGAACGAUCUCGGACAAAAUAGAACGAAAUAAGAUAAAUUUAUACGUAUUUAGGAAUUAAUUGGAACGUAUUUAGUAUGAUACACGUUUAAAAUUCGCUUUCUGUCUAUAGUGUCUAUUAAAAAUUCACAAAUAAAGCAAAAAAAAAAAAAAAA